AGGACGAACGCUGGCGGCGUGCUUAACACAUGCAAGUCGAACGGUAAGGCCCCUUCGGGGGUACACGAGUGGCGAACGGGUGAGUAACACGUGAGCAACCUGCCUCUGACAUUGGAAUAACAGUUGGAAACAGCUGCUAAUACCGGGUACGACCUGUCACCGCAUGGUGGUGGGUGGAAAGCCUUGGCGGUCAGAGAUGGGCUCGCGGCCUAUCAGCUAGUUGGUGAGGUAAUGGCUCACCAAGGCUUCGACGGGUA
rnacentral:rRNA from 1 species